CCUACGGGUGGCAGCAGUGGGGAAUAUUGGGCAAUGGGCGCAAGCCUGACCCUGCAACGCCGCGUGAAGGAUGAAGGCUUUCGGGUUGUAAACUUCUUUUAAGGGGGAAGAGCAGAAGCCGGUACCACUUGAAUAAGCCACGGCUAACUACGUGCCAGCGGCCGCGGUAACACGUAGGUGGCAAGCGUUGUCCGGAUUUACUGGGGGUAAAGGGCGUGCAGCCGGAGAGACAAGUCAGAUGUGAACUCCACGGGCUCAACCCGUGAACUGCAUUUGAAACUGUUUCCCUUGAGUGUCGGAGAGGUAAUCGGAAUUCCUUGUGUAGCGGUGAAAUGCGUAGAUAUAAGGAAGAACACCAGUGGCGAAGGCGGAUUACUGGACGAUAACUGACGGUGAGGCGCGAAAGCGUGGGGAGCAAACAGGAUUAGAUACCCGAGUAGUC
rnacentral:rRNA from 1 species